rnacentral:lncRNA from 1 species
GGCAUUAAACUCAGGGACACUCGACCACUAAGCCACAUCCCCAGCCCUAUUUUAUAUUUUAUUAGAGACAGGGUCUCACUGAGUUGCUUAGUGCCUCACUUUUGCUGAGGCUGGCUUUGAACUUGUGAUCCUCCUGCCUCAGCCUCCCAAGCCACUGGGAUUACAGGUGUACACCACCACACCUGGCUUUUUCUUUUUGAAGUACUAGGGAUUGAGACCAGGGACACUCUACCACUGAGCUACAUACCCAGUGCUUUUUAUUUUAAGACAAAGUCUCACUAAGUUGCCCAGGCUGGUCUUAAACUUGUGAUCCUUCUUUCUCAGCCUUCCAAAUUGCUGGAAUUAUAGGCAUGCUCCACCAUGGCUGGUUAGAUUUAUAUUAUUAUUAUUGUUAUUAUUAUUAUUAUUUACUUCUAAGGAGACAGGGCCUCUCUUGUUGCCCAGGCUGGCCUCCAACUCCUGGGCUCCAGUGAUCCUCCUGUGUUACCUUCCCAGGUUGCUGGGGCUAUGGUCACAGAGCACUGCUUUCAGCUUGUUCAAUUUAUUUAUUCAGUUGCUAUUAUAUUAAAUAAAUGCAUCAUUGUUUCUAUUGCUUCUAGUUUUCAUGCUAUAAAUUGAGGAGGAAUAGAGACUAGUCCAUAUGAAUAAAGUUUGUGAAAGAAAUCUAAACUAAGAUUAAGAAAUAUCAGGUAGAUAAAAGUGAAUCAGGGGUUGGGGUUGUGGCCCAGUGGCAGAGCGCUUGCAUAGCACAUGUGAGGCACUGGGUUCAAUCCUCAUCACCACAUAAAAAUAAAAUAAAGAUUUUGUGUCCACCUAAAACUAAAAAAAAUAAUAUUAAAAAAAAGAUUUGUGAAACUCUAAGAUAUUUUUAAAAAAUUAAAAAUGAAUCAGAGGGCUGGGGAUGUGGCUCAAGCGGUAGCGCGCUCGCCUGGCAUGCAUGCAGCCCGGGUUCGAUCCUCAGCACCACAUACAAACAAAGAUGUUGUGUCCUCCGAAAACUAAAAAAUAAAUAUUUAAAAAAAAUGAAUCAGAACACAUAGAAUGAAUAGAAUACAAAGUGCUAUUGAAAAACCUUAUGCUUCAGAACUGAUUGUCUAUGUUUAAAAAAGGAUAACCCUAUAUGUCCUAAAAAGUUAUAAAGGUAAGUUUACCUUUAUAUUACAACUCAUAAGUUACUGCUUAUAAGAUGGAGAAAAUUCACCAGGCAUGGUGGCUCAUGCCUGUAGUCCCAGCUACUGCAGGGGGAUGGGGGAGGCCUGAGGAUCACAAAUUUAAGGACAGCUUCAGCAAUUUAAUGAGGCCCUAAGCAAUUUCGUGAGACUGUGUCUCAAAAAAUAAUGAAAAGUAUGGGAAUGUAGCUCAGUGGUAAAGCACCCCUGGUUUUAAUCCCCAGUUCACAACCCCACCAAAUAAAAGAAGAGAAUUGUGAAGAUGCACAGGGCUCCAAAAGUACUGGGGAAUUUUCAGUAGCUCAAGGAAAUGAGAGAGCUUUUCUGUGUGUCUGCAUGGGGAAUUUAUGGGAUGGGACCUGUUGACAUUUUAUUUAUCCUGAAAGGCUUCUUAGUGUCCACUUCCCCCAAAGUCUUUCUAAUGUUUCUACUAGCUUGUAAGAACACUUUUUUUCUCCUGUCUUUCCUUUUUUUUUUUUUGGGCUGGUGAUUUAACCCAAGGGUGCUUUACCACUGAGCUCCAGCCCCACCAUUUUUAUUUUGAAGCAGGGUCUCGCUAAAUUGCUGAGGGUCUCACUAAGUUGUUGAGGCUUGCCUUCAGCUUGCAAUCCUCCUGCCUCAGCCUCCCAAGUUGCUGGGAUUACAAGCAUGAACCACUUGCCCACUGUGCCCAGCUCCCUUGAGAAAAGAAA